rnacentral:rRNA from 1 species
UGCGUAGGCGGAAUGAUAAGUUAGUGGUGAAAGCCCCCGGCUCAACCGGGGAACUGCCAUUAAUACUGUCAUUCUUGAGUAUAGUUGAAGUGGGCGGAAUGUAUCAUGUAGCGGUGAAAUGCUUAGAUAUGAUACAGAACACCGACAGCGUAGGCAGCUUGCUAAACUAUAACUGACGCUCAGGCACGAAAACGUGGGGAGCAAACAGGAUUAGAUACCCUGGUAGUC